GACGAACGCUGGCGGCGUGCUUAACACAUGCAAGUCGAACGGAAAGGCCCUGCUUUUGUGGGGUGCUCGAGUGGCGAACGGGUGAGUAACACGUGAGUAACCUGCCCUUGACUUUGGGAUAACUUCAGGAAACUGGGGCUAAUACCGGAUAGGAGCUCCUGCUGCAUGGUGGGGGUUGGAAGGUUUCGGCGGUUGGGGAUGGACUCGCGGCUUAUCAGCUUGUUGGUGGGGUAGUGGCUUACCAAGGCUUUGACGGGUAGCCGGCCUGAGAGGGUGACCGGCCACAUUGGGACUGAGAUACGGCCCAGACUCCUACGGGAGGCAGCAGUGGGGAAUAUUGCACAAUGGGCGGAAGCCUGAUGCAGCAACGCCGCGUGCGGGAUGACGGCCUUCGGGUUGUAAACCGCUUUCGCCUGUGACGAAGCGUGAGUGACGGUAAUGGGUAAAGAAGCACCAGCUAACUACGUG
rnacentral:rRNA from 1 species